AAUAUAUAUGAUAUAGAGAGCUAGUCCCUGAGGUAAUAUGUGUGCAAGAAACCUGGUUACGACCUCAAUUAGACUUUGUCAUUCCAGGAUUUAGCUGUAUAGGGCAUGAUAGAGCUAAUAGUCAAAAUGGUGGAGGGGGUGCCACGUUUCUCAAAGAUGGUGUGGCAUAUAGGGAGGUGCAAUCUCCUGAUGAUAUAGAGUGUAUUAUAGUGGACAUUUGCAACCCUAGGAAACAAGAUAACAUUAGGAUAAUCAAUGUAUACAACCCAUGUAAAAAUCUAACCACUGAUAUAUUUAAAGAAAUAGCAGGCAAUAAACAUAGGAAGGAAGUUUGGUGUGGUGAUUUCAAUGCACACAACAGUCUAUGGGGCAGCAACCAUACAGAUAGUAACGGAAAUGUAGUGGAAGAAAUGCUGGAGGAAAGAACACUAGUAUGCCUUAAUGAUGGACAUGGCACAAGAGUAGAUGUACACAGGGGGAAAGUCUCAUGCCUGGAUCUGACAUUAGUAUCAAACUGUUUGGUUCAUACAUGCGAAUGGUUUGUUAUGAAUAGCUCCACUGUAGGAAGUGACCAUUAUCCAGUGCUUACUAAAAUGAAUACUAAUGUAUAUAUGCAGGAAGGAGGUGUAAUAACCAUGUGGUGCUUUGCUAAAGCUGAUUGGGGGAAAUUUAGGAUAUGGUGUGAGGAGUCGGUACACCUGCUAACAUCAGAGGGAAGC